CCAUCACAUUGGAGUUUUGGACUUCAACCUAAGAGUUUUGGAGAGUCACAAUUCAGUCUAUGAAACUUGGAGCAUGUAAAACAGAAGAUGUGGUGGUAUUAAGCAGCCAGAGCCAUUUUCUAAAUGAGCGCAAAAGAAGCCUAAGCAGUUUACACAAACAAGUCAACUCGCUGAGCUGCUGUAAUCUGCAUUUGAGAUUCUUAGCCCAGGGCUGGCCACUCCUGGCUUGCUCUUUUAAACAAAAUGCCAAUGCAAAGAUUAAAGUGGAAUGUACUUAUGCA